GACGAACGCUGGCGGCGUGCUUAACACAUGCAAGUCGAACGGAAAGGCCCUGCUUUUGUGGGGUGCUCGAGUGGCGAACGGGUGAGUAACACGUGAGUAACCUGCCCUUGACUUUGGGAUAACUUCAGGAAACUGGGGCUAAUACCGGAUAGGAGCUCCUGCUGCAUGGUGGGGGUUGGAAAGUUUCGGCGGUUGGGGAUGGACGCGCGGCUUAUCAGCUUGUUGGUGGGGUAGUGGCUUACCAAGGCUUUGACGGGUAGCCGGCCUGAGAGGGUGACCGGCCACAUUGGGACUGAGAUACGGCCCAGACUCCUACGGGAGGCAGCAGUGGGGAAUAUUGCACAAUGGGCGGAAGCCUGAUGCAGAAACGCCGCGUGCGGGAUGACGGCCUUCGGGUUGUAAACCGCUUUCGCCUGUGACGAAGCGUGAGUGACAGUAAUGGGUAAAGAAGCACCGGCUAACUACGUG
rnacentral:rRNA from 1 species